UAGGGAAUUUUCGGCAAUGGGCGAAAGCCUGACCGAGCAAUGCCGCGUGAGUGAAGAAGGCCUUCGGGUUGUAAAGCUCUGUUGUAAAGGAAGAACGGAUGGCAUAGGGAAUGAUGCCAUUGUGACGGUACUUUACGAGGAAGUCACGGCUAACUACGUGCCAGCAGCCGCGGUAAUACGUAGGUGGCGAGCGUUAUCCGGAAUUAUUGGGCGUAAAGGGUGCGCAGGCGGCAAGAAAAGCUUAAGGUGAAAGCGUGGGGCUCAACCCCAUAAAGCCUUAGGAACUGGCUUGCUAGAGUGCAG
rnacentral:rRNA from 1 species